rnacentral:rRNA from 1 species
AGGUGCGAUCAUACCAGCACUAAUGCACCGGAUCCCAUCAAAACUCCACAGUGAAGCGUGCUUGGGCGAGAGUAGUACUAGGAUGGGUAACCUCCUAAGUUUUCCACCAAAAAUUUACAGCAACUC